rnacentral:tRNA from 1 species
UAGGAUAAUAGUUUAAAUAAAACAAUUGAUUUGCAUUCAUUAAAUAUUAUAUAAUUUAUCUUAGC